rnacentral:lncRNA from 1 species
AGUCCAGAGGAUGUUUCUAGAAGGCUCCUCCAUCAAGGAAAUCUGGAAAGGCAGAUUUCUCCAAAAAGAAACAACAAAGAAAGCAAAUAAACAAGAGAGGAAAAAGAGAUGCUUACAGGAAAUUAUGAGAUUAGAUUAUCACCACCCAGUAACCCGAUCUGUCAAGAUUCCUACAUUUUCAAAUGUAGGUCUUACGCUCCUCCCUACAAGGCUGACUAAUUACCCAGGGCAGCCUAGUAACUUAGCUGCAGAGAAACCAGCUGACGGCACGCUACUGCUCACGUCACCGACAAUGAGUCAAACUGAGUCAAAUCAGCCUAGUGUGGCUGCACCUGGCCCACACUGCCCCUGUAGGAAGUGGUCCUAAGGAGAGUCUCUAAUCGCACAGAAACAUCAACCAAGCACAAAUUAUACGUGGUUCCAUAAAAUAAGGGGCCUCAAGUCAAAACACAGUCUGCAGUCUUUUUCUCUUAAAAAAAAAAAAAA